AAAAAACUAUAAAAUGAAAAGUGGACAAGUAAAAAGGGAUGGAGGGAGCACUAAUUAGAUAGUAUUUAAUUAAAUAGUACUUUAUUUUAAGAGUAAAAUGAUAAUUCAAUUUUGAGGUUAGAAACUAUAUAUUUUAGGUAAUAUAUGACAUAUGAUAUGAUAUAUAUAUUCAAUUUCAAAUUUUUAUAAGUAGACACUUAAAUUUAUAUGAAAUUAAACAAAUAAAGACAUUUGUUAAAGUGCCUCAAUAGUUUAGAUGUUGGUGUUAAUGUGUUUGUUGUUUGGUCUAUGUGAAAGAAAGUUCGAAAAAAAGACAAAGCAACUUCCAACAUUUUUAGCUGUUAAAGUGCCUCAAUAAUUUAGAUGUUGGAGCAUGUCUAAAGGAAAGGUACAUUAUAUAUUAUUAUUAAUAAUAAAUUGAUUAUUAUCCUUUUUCCCUCAAUAAUUUAGUAUUAAUCAAGAUAGUGCAGGUCCAUUUUUGAAAAAAUGCAAUUGUCCUUUUUCCCUCAAUAAUUUAGCUGUUAAUAAUAGUAGUCCUGCAAUUAUCAGCUUUCAAUUCACUCUCAACCUAUUUUCACUCUACUUUGUAACUAAGAAAUCAGAUAUGGAAUUCUUAUCUGUUUUUGUGGACAAGGUAACAGAUUGCUUGAUAAAGCCAGUUACGCGAGGGAUCGGGUAUUUUGUUUACUACAAGAGAAACAUCACAUGUAUGGAAAAUGAAUCUGAGAAGCUGGAGAAUAUCAGAAUUGGGGUGGAUCAAAGAGCCGAGGCUAACCGGAGAAACUUACAAGUCAUUUCACCCAAUGUUGAGGCUUGGUUUACUAGUGUUGCUACCAUUACUGCUGAGGUGGCAGAUGUAACGCGACGAGGUAGAAAUGAGGUUGAUAGAUAUGAUUGGUGUCCAAACUUGAAGUCACGUUACUCCCUGAGCAGGAGAGCUAAGAGAAUUGCAUUGGAGUUGAUUGAACUUCGAAAUGAAGGCAACAGUUAUGCUGUUUUCUGCUAUCCUGCUGUUGAAAACGAACCUCUACCUAUCAACAGCGCUGAGGAGUUUGAUUCUAGAAAAUUGCAAGAGGAUGAGGUCAUGGCAGCUUUGAACAAUGACGGGGUCACAAUUAUUGGGAUAUGCGGUCUGGGUGGUGUUGGUAAGACGACACUGGCUGAAAAAAUCAGACGAAAGGCGAAAAAAGAAAAGUUGUUCAAUGAUGUUGUUAUGGUAAUUGUCAGUCAACAACAGGACCCUAAAAGAAUUCAGGAGGAGAUCGCAAGAGGGGUCGGACUUACAUUACAAGGGGAUGAUUUGUGGAGUCGUGGAGAUCAGCUGCGUACUAGGUUAAUGGCUCACAACAGCCAUACUCUUGUAAUCUUGGAUGAUGUUUGGGAGGCUCUUUAUGAUCUAGAGAAACUCGGGAUUUCCACCGGUAGCAACCACAACUACCGGUGCAAAGUUAUAUUGACGACACGUCUCCGACAUGUUUGUGAUAUAAUGAAGGCUCAGAAGAUCAUGGAAAUUGGAACUUUACCUGAAGAGGAAGCAUGGAUCCUUUUCAAGGAGAAAGUCGGUAAUUCAGUCGACGAUCCUUCUCUGCUUGAUAUAGCAAAAGAUGUUUCCAAAGAAUGCAAGGGAUUGCCGCUUGCAAUUAUUACAGUUGCAAGAGCACUAAAGCGUAAAACCAAGCCUUCGUGGGAGGAUGCCCUUAAGCAAUUAUGUUCUGCAGAUACAAGAAAUAUCCCUGGAGUGCACGCAAGGGUGUAUGGGCCUCUGAGGCUAAGCUAUGAUUACAUUGAAAGUGAUGAAGCCAGGUACCUAUUUUUGCUUUGUUCUUUAUUUGAGGAAGAUAGUGACAUUUGGAUUGAAGAAUUACUUAGAUACGGAAAGGGACUUGGCAUUUUUACAGAAAUGAAAAAUUUAGAACAUGCAAGAAAUAGGGUGUGUCUUUUGAUAGAAAUAUUGAAAGAAAGUUUCUUGUUAUCCCAAGGUUCAGACAAAAAUUAUGUCAAAAUGCAUGAUGUGUUACGUGACGUGGCUAUAUAUAUUUCAUCCGAGGAAGAGCACAAAUUUAUGGUAAGACAUGAUGUGAACUCAAAAGUGUUCCCCCAAAAAGACUCUUACGAGCAAUAUAGUCACAUGUCCAUAGUUGCAAAUGAAUUUGAGGAGCUUCCUAGACCAAUAUUUUGCCCAAAACUGAAGCUUCUAAUGUUGAAACUCUGUUCUAGAAAUUCAUUCAAAUUACAGGAUAAUUUUUUUAAUGACAUGGGUGAACUCAAAGUCUUAAGCCUGAUGGGUGGAUAUAAUGAGGGCUCCAUUCGUCGUUUUCCAGCAUCCAUUCAGAGGUUACCGAGUUUGAGGACGCUGCAUCUGAUUAAUUUAAAGUUGGAUGACAUAUCUAUUAUUGGGGAACUUGUCAAUUUGGAAAUCCUAAGCAUAAGAGAUACUCGGUUAGAUGAGCUGCCAGAGGAGAUAGGAAAUUUGACCAAGUUAAUUGUAUUAGAGUUUUGGAAUGAGAAUGAAGUAGAUAAAAGGAUUUCAACAGGUGUCUUAUCAAGACUAGUUCGAUUGGAGGAACUACAUUUGACGGGAGUGAAAGAUUGUAGUUGCUCCAUCUUGAUGGAACUGGAAUCCUUAUCGGAAUUGACUGCACUGUCGUUAUAUGAAUGUUCCGAAGAUGUGACUUACAUUAAGUUGGUCCUUUCCUCCAAGUUGACACGGUACAAUAUUAGAACGGGCUUUGGUUACGAAGAGAGAACAUAUGAUUACGAUAAGAGCAUUGCUUUAGAGGUCACGGAGACCACCCCAUUGGCUGAUUGGAUCUGCCACCUGUUGAAGAAGAGUGAAUUUGUACGUUCACGUGGAGAGGGCUCUAAUAAUGUGUUGAAUGAGUUGCAGCUGAAUGAAUUUCAGAACGUGAAAUGUCUCCACCUCUCUGCUUGUAAUUUAGUGACACAUAUAUUCAACAUCUCUCGAACGACACAUGAAGUAAUCAAGUUCCCCAAUUUAUAUGUGUUGAAACUGCAAGAUCUGGAAUGCCUCACUCACUUUUGCAGUGACAAUGUUGACGGCAUUGAGUUCCCUCAGUUACGGAAAUUGACCUUCAGGGAUUUACCUAAGUUCCAAAAUUUGUGGCCUACUGCCAACAACUUCAUCACUCACCCAAAUCCUCUUUUUCAUGAAAAGGUUUCUUGUCCCAACUUGGAAAAGCUAUAUAUCGAUGUGGCCAACAACAUAAAUGUUUUAUGCUCUGACCAACUUCCAACUGCCUACUUCAGCAAACUUAAAAGACUGCGUGUAUGGAAUUGUGGAAAUUUGAGAAACUUGAUGUCUCCAUCAGUGGCUCGAGGUCUUCUAAACCUCCGAAGCUUACGGAUAGAAGGAUGUUCAUCAAUGGAAGAAGUGAUCACAAAAGAGGAACAACAAGGAGAAGAAAUAAUGACCUUAUUUCCCCUGUUGGAAAUACUGCGUCUUGACAAUCUGCCUAAGCUGGGGCAUUUCUUUCUGACUGAGCAUCCUCUUAAAUUUCCAUUUCUCAAAGAAGUGACAAUUUGUGAGUGCCCUGAAAUGAAGACGUUUGUCCAAAAGGGAAUAUCUGUGUGUCUCGAAAGUACUGUGAACAAUGACGAUGAGGUGAAAGCAAUGUUCAAUUCUAAGGUUUCUUUUCCCAACUUGGAAGAGCUAAUCAUCUGGAAACUUGAAAGCAUAACUGCUCUAUGCUCUGACCAACUUUCAACUGCCUACUUUAGCAAACUUAAAAGAUUGGAUGUACGGGGUUGUGGAAACUUGAGGAACUUGAUGUCUCCAUCAGUGGCUAGAGGUCUUAUAGACCUCCGAAGUUUAAGGAUAGAAGGAUGUUCAUCAAUGGAAGAAGUGAUCACAAAAGAGGAACACCGAGGAGAAGAAAUAAUGACCUUAUUUCCCCGGUUGGAAGAACUGCGUCUUGACAAUCUGCCUAAGCUGAGACAUUUCUUUCUGACAAAGAGUGUUACUGAAUUUCCAUUUCUCAGAGAAGUGACAAUUAGUGAGUGCCCUGAAAUGAAGACGUUUGUCCAACAGGGAAUAUCUGUGAGUCUCAAAAGUACUGUGAACAAUGAUGAUGAGGUGAAAGCAAUGUUCAAUUCUAAGGUUUCUUUUCCCAACUUGGAAGAGCUAAGCAUCUGGAAGCUUGAAAGCAUAAAUGUUUUAUGCUCUGACCAACUUCCAACUGCCUACUUCAGCAAACUUAAAAGAUUGCGUGUAUGGAAUUGUGGAAACUUGAGAAACUUGAUGUCUCCAUCAGUGGCUCGAGGUCUUCUAAACCUCCGAAGUUUACGGAUAGAAGGAUGUUCAUCAAUGGAAGAAGUGAUCACAAAAGAGGAACAACAAGGAGAAGAAAUAAUGACCUUAUUUCCCCUGUUGGAAAUACUGUAUCUUGACUAUCUGCCUAAGCUGAGGCAUUUCUUUCUGACAAUGCCUGUUACUGAAUUUCCAUUUCUCAGAAAAGUGUGGAUAAAUGACUGCCCGGAAAUGAUGAAUGAUGAUUAUUAAGUGAAUGAUGAUUAUGAAGUGAAUAUUUCAGGGAAUAUCUGUGAGUACACCGAGUCUCAUAUUGGUGAAUGAUGAUUAUGAAGUGAAAGUGGACGAUCUAAAUAAAUGGACACAACAGUGGUUCAAUUCUAAGGAACAAAAAGCUACCCAAGGCACUACCAAUGGCGACGAAUCUGAAGCUAUUGUUGGUAACAAAUCUGUAGCUAUCGAUGACAAACGAAAGGGUGAAACAUGAUUUUGGGGUGAUGGUUGUUAGCAUGAUUUUUGUUGUUCAGGACCCCUCAAUUUAUGCCUGUUUUUUGGCAGCCUCAUGAGAAAAGGAUGUUUUCAAUUUCCCCACUUUUUUUGCUUUGUACCCCACCCACCCCACCUUAAAAUUUAAUUUCAAUGACCAAAGAAUUAUGAACUUUAUUGUGGUCACACUAUUUGAUCUCACUACUAAAACAAAUGAGAAGUGACAACACCUUAUUGUUAACA